CCUCGGUGGCUGCAGUGGGGAAUAUUGCACAAUGGGCGCAAGCCUGAUGCAGCCAUGCCGCGUGUGUGAAGAAGGCCUUCGGGUUGUAAAGCACUUUCAGCGGGGCGGAAGGCGUUAAGGUUAAUAACCUUGUCGAUUGACGUUACCUGCAGAAGAAGCACCGGCUAACUCCGUGCCAGCAGCCGCGGUAAUACGGAGGGUGCAAGCGUUAAUCGGAAUUACUGGGCGUAAAGCGCACGCAGGCGGUCUGUCAAGUCGGAUGUGAAAUCCCCGGGCUCAACCUGGGAACUGCAUUCGAAACUGGCAGGCUAGAGUCUUGUAGAGGGGGGUAGAAUUCCAGGUGUAGCGGUGAAAUGCGUAGAGAUCUGGAGGAAUACCGGUGGCGAAGGCGGCCCCCUGGACAAAGACUGACGCUCAGGUGCGAAAGCGUGGGGAGCAAACAGGAUUAGAUACCCGAGUAGUC
rnacentral:rRNA from 1 species